rnacentral:sRNA from 1 species
GUGCGUCCUUUACCACUCCAUAUGGGUCCCUUUCUAGGCUGUGUGCUCGAUUGAAGAGGACGACCAACCCCGAUAGAGGUGGAAUGGUCUUUGGUCAAGGGUCUAAGAGUAGCUGUGUUACCCUGCUAGAACCGCCAAACAAGCUCUCAAGGUCCAAACAGUGGAAAAUGAAAGUUCAGGUUGAUUCAUGUUGGCAGGUUUUUGUAUUAAAAAAAAAUUUAAAAACACAAAUGGGGUUAUACCAAUAAAUGUUUGCCCUCCUCU